rnacentral:tRNA from 1 species
GGGAUUCAAUUGGUUAGAGCGUGCUGCUGAUAACACCAAGGUUGCAGGUUCAAUCCCUGUAUGGGACA